rnacentral:snRNA from 1 species
AUACUUACCUGGCAGGGGAGAAACCUUGAUGUCGAGGCUUUCUAUCACACUCCGAAUUUCCCAGGGCUAGGCUUCUCCAUCACACUCCGGAUGUGCUGACCUCUGCGAUUUCCCCAAAUGCAGGAAACUCCACUGUAGAAUUUGUGGUAGUGGGGAAGUGAGUUCACGCUUUCCCCGG